rnacentral:lncRNA from 1 species
CUCCAACACCUCUCUCUCCCACAUUUCUUGCUUUGCUCCUCUGGUGUGUUGGGCACGGCUGAGCUCGAGACAACAGCGCAUUGUGGACCAAAGCUUGCUUCUCCAACAUGCUAGCUUGGGCUCUUCACAUCCUGGGUCAUGCAGAGUUCAGAUGGUGAGAUCAGACACUUGGACAGAAAGAAAUGCACACCUGGACACCGCACACCUGAAUACUGAACACAGAGCAGAUGAACCUCCUGUAGAGCUUUUUGUCAAGGAAUCAAGCUUUUUCGGCUCCUGGAACAGAGCACAACAGUGGGCAGCCGCUUUCUCGCUGGCCUGGGUUGCUUGCAGUGUGUUUUCCCAUUCAUUUUCUCCACAGGAACAUGAAGGUUCUUCAACACGCCAGGUCUGAGAUGAAUCACAGCAUUA